rnacentral:rRNA from 1 species
GUGAGGAAUAUUGCGCAAUGGAGGCAACUCUGACGCAGCCAUGCCGCGUGCAGGAAGAAGGCGCUACGCGUUGUAAACUGCUUUUAACCGGGAAGAAACCCCAGGACGUGUCCUGGGUUGACGGUACCGGAGGAAUAAGCACCGGCUAACUUCGUGCCAGCAGCCGCGGUAAUACGAAGGGUGCAAGCGUUAUCCGGAGUCAUUGGGUUUAAAGGGUGCGUAGGCGGAGCGUUAAGUCAGUGGUGAAAUCCUGCAGCUUAACUGUAGACUUGCCAUUGAUACUGGCGCUCUUGAGUGCGCUUGAAGUGGGCGGAAUGUGCCGUGUAGCGGUGAAAUGCUUAGAUAUGGCACAGAACACCAAUUGCGAAGGCAGCUCACUAAGGCGAUACUGACGCUGAGGCACGAAAGCGUGGGGAUCGAACAGGAUUAGAAACCCCAGUAGUCC